GGCGAACUGAGCGCAACUCAGCCGCACUCAGAGCCAGCGUUAGAGCGGAAACCCCUGCAAAGGGGCGGCCUGCAAAGCCGUGUACACCGGUUCGACUCCGGUCGUCGCCU
rnacentral:tRNA from 1 species